AAUGUCUGCACUGUUGAGUCUAUCAGUGACGUCACUUGCAUGCAGUCAAAAAUGGGCUGAAACUAUUUCGAACCAGUUUCAAGCUCGUUUUGAUUUUUCAUUUUAAACAAAUAUUGAUUAAAAUUGUACUAUGAUUUCAGGAGUGUCUUAAAAACCCUCUAAAACAGAGGGGAAGUUCCAAGAAAAUUUCUAAUGGAAGCUGCUGACAGAGAUAGAAAACACAGUUUGUUUAUUUCUAAUAAGGAGCUGGAGGUCGUGGAGAAGCAGAUCUGUGACCUUGUGGAGAAGCAGGCCCAGCUGAGAGAGCGGAGAGCCGUGCUGGAAGCAUUCAGGGGUUGACGCUCAUAAGUCCGGGUGUGAGACAUGAGCCAGGCCCUGGGCGACGACCUCUCUCCCUCCGCCACCUCCGGUCUUCAGGAUCUCCACCAGAACCCGAUUCGCUCCACUUCGCGAGACAGAA